rnacentral:rRNA from 1 species
UACGAAGGGGGCUAGCGUUGCUCGGAAUUACUGGGCGUAAAGCGCACGUAGGCGGCUUUCUAAGUCGGGGGGUGAAAUCCUGGAGCUCAACUCCAGAACUGCCUUCGAUACUGGAGAGCUUGAGUCCGGGAGAGGUGAGUGGAACUGCGAGUGUAGAGGUGAAAUUCGUAGAAUUAUUCGCAAGAACACCAGUGGCGAAAGGCGGCCUCAG